UGGGGAAUAUUGGACAAUGGGCGAAAGCCUGAUCCAGCAAUGCCGCGUGUGUGAAGAAGGCCUUCGGGUUGUAAAGCACUUUAAAGUUGGGAAGAAAAAAGCUCUGGCUAAUAUCUAGAGCCUUGACGGUACCAACAGAAUAAGCACCGGCUAACUCUGUGCCAGCAGCCGCGGUAAUACAGAGGGUGCUAGCGUUAAUCGGAUUUACUGGGCGUAAAGCGUGCGUAGGCGGUUUGAUAAGUCGAUUGUGAAAGCCCCGGGCUUAACCUGGGAAUUGCAGUUGAUACUGUCAGACUAGAAAACGGUAGAGGGAGGCGGAACUCCAGGUGUAGCGGUGAAAUGCGUAGAUAUCUGGAAGAACACCGAUGGCGAAGGCAACCUCCUGGGCCUGUUUUGACGCUGAGGCACG
rnacentral:rRNA from 1 species